UACGUAGGGCGCAAGCGUUGUCCGGAAUUAUUGGGCGUAAAGAGCUCGUAGGCGGUUUGUCGCGUCUGCUGUGAAAACCCGAGGCUCAACCUCGGGCCUGCAGUGGGUACGGGCAGACUAGAGUGCGGUAGGGGAGAUUGGAAUUCCUGGUGUAGCGGUGAAAUGCGCAGAUAUCAGGAAGAACACCAAUGGCGAAGGCAGCUCUCUGGGACGGUACUGACACUGAGACGCGAAAGCGUGGGGAGCGAACAGG
rnacentral:rRNA from 1 species